GCUUCCGCUUUUCCGGGUUCUUGGACCAAGUCCUGUCCUUGAACAGCUUGUGGGCACCGGAAUCUUGGGACAUUCAAUGGCCGCAUCUGUGCAGAUUCUUCUAGGAAUGGGAAGCGUGGAGAAGUACAACUAAACAACAACAACAACAAAACUAAUUGGUUGCUAAGGCAAAGUAACAGGAAUGAAACAUGUCUACUGACCUCCAACAACCUAUCUAUGCACAUGCAUCUGUCCAGUAGAAUACAUUUGGAUGCAUGGGAUCUAACAUGUCCUCUGAAUUCAGAUAAUAUGAGGAACAGCAUACCUGCUCAUAGAGACUGUAACAAGUUUGGAAUAGUAGGACAAUAGGGGGGGUUGUGGGGGGAGUUCAUGAACUCACCUGUGACUGAUACCUGUGUAGAAGAGCCACUUCAUCUCUUAUUGGAAUCACAUCAGAGGGAGCUGAUGUAUAGCAUGGAAAUCCAGCUAGCAUCUCUUCCCGUUUGCUAGGAGUGAAAUUGGCAAACAUCGGGUACUGGUCCACAGAGGCGAACUCACUUGCUGCACAUUCAUAGUAGGUACCUGUCAGCAGGGUCACUGUCAGCCAUGUCA
rnacentral:lncRNA from 1 species